rnacentral:rRNA from 1 species
UACGGGGGGGGCAAGCGUUGUUCGGAAUUACUGGGCGUAAAGGGUUCGUAGGUGGCUUGCUAAGUCAGACGUGAAAUCCCUCAGCUUAACUGGGGAACUGCGUCUGAGACUGGUGAGCUUGAGUGCAGGAGAGGAACGCGGAAUUCUCGGUGUAGCGGUGAAAUGCGUAGAUAUCGAGAGGAACACCUGCGGCGAAGGCGGGUUGCUGGGCUGACACUGACGCUGAUGCGCGAAAGCCAGGGGAGCGAACGGG